UCUGAGUGCUUUGUGGGCUUGGUCC
rnacentral:miRNA from 1 species